rnacentral:rRNA from 1 species
UCCGCAAUGGACGAAAGUCUGACGGAGCAACGCCGCGUGAGUGAUGACGGCCUUCGGGUUGUAAAGCUCUGUUAAUCGGGACGAAAGGCCUUCUUGCGAAUAGUGAGAAGGAUUGACGGUACCGGAAUAGAAAGCCACGGCUAACUACGUGCCAGCAGCCGCGGUAAUACGUAGGUGGCAAGCGUUGUCCGGAAUUAUUGGGCGUAAAGCGCGCGCAGGCGGAUAGGUCAGUCUGUCUUAAAAGUUCGGGGCUUAACCCCGUGAUGGGAUGGAAACUGCCAAUCUAGAGUAUCGGAGAGGAAAGUGGAAUUCCUAGUGUAGCGGUGAAAUGCGUAGAUAUUAGGAAGAACACCAGUGGCGAAGGCGACUUUCUGGACGAAAACUGACGCUGAGGCGCGAAAGCCAGGGGAGCGAACGGGAUUAGAUACCCCGGUAGUCCUGGCCGUAAACGAUGGGUACUAGGUGUAGGAGGUAUCGACCCCUUCUGUACCGGAGUUAACGCAAUAAGUACCCCGCCUGGGGAGUACGACCGCAAGGUUGAAACUCAAAGGAAUUGACGGGGGCCCGCACAAGCGGUGGAGUAUGUGGUUUAAUUCGACGCA